CAUACCGUCUCCCCCACCCCACCAAGCAUGGGGAGGGUGAGGAUGUUGGCCUCCCACGACGCACCUGUUGUGGAUGGCCUAAAUAAGGAGCCCUCGGAUACUAGAUGCCGCGGCUAUUGGUGGUAUACAAGGCUAACGCCGAGGAAGCAUCGAGCCGCGCAACAAGUAUCACGUGUGGCAUCGCAGGACCCUUCAUAAACCAUU
rnacentral:misc_RNA from 1 species